UUGCUCAAUCCUACAUCUCCUCCAGAGCAUCGAUAUAAUGAAGCACAUAUAAAGACUAGAAAUACUAUAGAGAGAUGUUUUGGAGUUUGGAAAAGACGGUUCCCAGUACUGUCUUAGAAAAUCCGAUUGUCUUUACACACCACCUAAGCUAUCAUUGUUGCUACUUCAGUUCUACACAACAUUUGUAGAACACAUAACAUCAGUGAUGUUGAACCUGAAGUUGAGG
rnacentral:misc_RNA from 1 species